AAAAAAAAAAAAAAAAAAAAAAGAAAAGAAAAAGAAAUCUGGGUACCCGCGAAUGCGAUUUUUUUUAGGUUUACCGAUGAUCAGUUUAGCAGUGCCUGGGAGCUCUUAUACCAAGUUUGUUUUCGCAAUAUUGAGUCCCACCUUAGCUAAGCUUGUGUGUAUUUUAAACUCCCAUGGAAGUCAGGAAAUGUCCGCAAACGCGAUUUCUGGUUACCAAGCUCCGUUUGGCAAUAGCAAGUCCUGCCGAACGCGACUUUUUCCUCUUGUGGACCAAGUCUGAAUAGACCAGCUACUGCGAUUUUUAAGUCGUAGUAAAAAAGGUUUAACCGUGACUGCUUUUUUUUGUUGGUGUUGUUUGUUUUUGUUUUUGUUUUCGUAGGAAAUGUAGACUUAGGUGUAACAUGUACCGGUUUAGAUCUGACAGAGAUAUCACAAUUGUAGGAUUGCAUCUUUUAGCAAGGGCUUUGACUCCUGAGUCUAAAAAGGUCACUAACUCCCGCUAAAUUGAGAGCAAUUGAAGCCUCAUCUUCAGAUCUAGGAGAAGAUGAAAAUCAGAAUAAGCUGCAGUCAUGAGACAUGGCGCCAGAAAUUAAGACUAUUCAAACCCUCUAGUCCCAGGGACUAUUGAAGAAGAAGUGGAUAAGGUCUAGAUCUGUCACCCAGGCUGGAGU
rnacentral:lncRNA from 1 species